rnacentral:tRNA from 1 species
AUCUAAGUAGUUUAAGUAAAAUUUUAAUUUGUGGGGUUAAGGAAAUGUAAUUAUCUUGGAUA